rnacentral:tRNA from 1 species
AGCCCCGGCAGAAACUACUCCGCUCUUUAAAAUUUGCAAUUUUACAUACCGUACAUCACGAGGCU